GGGGGGGGGGGGGGGGGGGGGGGGGGGGGGGGGGGGGGGGGGGCGGGCGGGGGGCGUGCUGCUCUGCCGUUAGCGUCGGACAGGGGGGUGCCACGUGGAUAGCCUACAGAUACGACUGGGUGACCUUCGGGGAACCGGCGCUGCUACCGCGUCUUAUAUCUAACCGCCUGAUUCUAUAGUGAAAGACGGUUUUGCGGUCACUUAUCGAUGCAUCCGCGCCGCCGUAGCUAGGUCGUAAGGUAACGGCUUACACACGCAACGAUACGGAGACGAUCUGAGAGGGGGAUCGGCCACACUGGAACUGAGACACGGUCCAGACUCCUACGGGAGGCAGCAGUAGGGAAUCUUCCGCAAAGGGCGAAAGCUUGACGGAGCAACGCCGCGUGAGUGAUGAAGGUCUUCGGAUCGUAAAACUCUGUUAUUAGGGAAGAACAAAUGUGUAAGUAACUAUGCACGUCUUGACGGUACCUAAUCAGAAAGCCACGGCUAACUACGUG
rnacentral:rRNA from 1 species